UUAGAGUUUGAUCCUGGCUCAGGAUGAACGCUAGCGGCAGGCUUAACACAUGCAAGUCGAGGGGCAGCGAGAUCAGUGCUUGCACUGAUUGUCGGCGACCGGCGCACGGGUGCGUAACGCGUAUGCAACCUACCCUUUACAGGGGGAUAACACUGAGAAAUCGGUACUAAUACCCCAUAACAUCCAGGGAGGCAUCUUCUUGGGUUGAAAACUCCGGUGGUAAUGGAUGGGCAUGCGUUGUAUUAGUUAGUUGGUGGGGUAACGGCUCACCAAGACAACGAUACAUAGGGGGACUGAGAGGUUAACCCCCCACAUUGGUACUGAGACACGGACCAAACUCCUACGGGAGGCAGCAGUGAGGAAUAUUGGUCAAUGGACGCAAGUCUGAACCAGCCAUGCCGCGUGCAGGAAGACGGCUCUAUGAGUUGUAAACUGCUUUUGUACGAGGGUAAACGCAGAUACGCGUAUCUGUCUGAAAGUAUCGUACGAAUAAGGAUCGGCUAACUCCGUGCCAGCAGCCGCGGUAAUACGGAGGAUUCAAGCGUUAUCCGGAUUUAUUGGGUUUAAAGGGUGCGUAGGCGGUCGGAUAAGUUAGAGGUGAAAUCCCGGGGCUCAACUUCGGAAUUGCCUCUGAUACUGUUCGGCUAGAGAGUAGUUGCGGUAGGCGGAAUGUAUGGUGUAGCGGUGAAAUGCUUAGAGAUUAUACAGAACACCGAUUGCGAAGGCAACUUACCAAGCUACUUCUGACGUUGAGGCACGAAAGCGUGGGGAGCAAACAGGAUUAGAUACCCUGGUAGUCCACGCAGUAAACCAUGAUAACUCGUUGUCGGCG
rnacentral:rRNA from 1 species